AGUGAACGCUGGCGGUAGGCCUAACACAUGCAAGUCGAACGGCAGCGCAGUAAGAGCUUGCUCUUACGGGUGGCGAGUGGCGGACGGGUGAGGAAUACAGCGGAAUCUACUUUUUCGUGGGGGAUAACGUAGGGAAACUCACGCUAAUACCGCAUAUGACCUACGGGUGAAAGCAGGGGAUCUUCGGACCUUGCGCGAUUGAAUGAGCCGAUGUCGGAUUAGCUAGUUGGCGGGGUAAAGGCCCACCAAGGCGACGAUCCGUAGCUGGUCUGAGAGGAUGAUCAGCGACACUGGAACUGGGACACGUUCCACACUCCUACGGGAGGCACCAGUGGCGAAUAUUGGACAAUGGGCGCAAGCCGGAUCCAGCCAUACCGCGUGAGUGAAGAAGGCCUUCGGGUUGUGAAGCCCUUUUGUUGGGAAAGAAAAGCAGCAGGUUAAUACCCCGCUGUUCUGACGGUACCAAAAGAAUAAGCACCGGCUAACUUCGUG
rnacentral:rRNA from 1 species